GAUGAACGCUGGCGGCGUGCCUAACACAUGCAAGUCGAGCGAACAGACCAGGAGCUGUCUCCCCUGACGUUAGCGGCGGACGGGUGAGUAACACGUGGUUAACCUACCUAUAAGACUGGGAUAACUUCGGGAAACCGUAGCUAAUACCGGAUAAUAUAUUGAACCGCAUGGUUCAAUCGUGAAAUACGCUUUUUCUUUCAGUUGUAGACUGAUACGCCGCGCAUCAGCUAGUUGGUAAGGUAACGGCUUACCAAGGCAACGAUGCGUAGACGCCCUGAGAGGGUGAUCCGCUACACUGGAAGUGAGAAACGGUCCCGACUCCUAGGCGGGGCAGCGGCAGGGACUCUUACGCAAUGGGCGAGAGGCUGACGGAGCAACGCCGCGUGAGUGAUGAAGGUCUUAGGAUCGGAAAGCGCUGUUAGUAGGGAAGAAGAAAUGUGUAAGUAACUAUGCACGUCUUGACGGUACCUGAUCAAAAAGCCACGGCUAACUACGUG
rnacentral:rRNA from 1 species